ACCGGGAUCGUCUAGUCGGCAAGACAGCGGUCUCUGAAGCCGCCCUGGCAGGUUCGAACCCUGCUCCCGGUA
rnacentral:tRNA from 1 species